rnacentral:lncRNA from 1 species
GCUCAGCAACCUCGCGGCGCGGAAGGGUUUCGUUGCUAGGGAGAUGGGCUGAGCCGGGCGGGCAUCGCGCCAGACCUGCUACUCUGGAUAAUCCACUCUCCUGGAUAAUCCACUACCCUGGAUAAUCGGCUGCCCGCUUUUGCGCAUGUUAGGGAGUUGACGGCCUGUAGCAUUCUGAUGCAGCAAAAUAUUUCGCAGGGUCUGUCAUAGGGAUCUCCGGUGAGAGGAGGUUCCCUUCGAAGGCAGAACUGGAAACCUUGCUGCUAACUUGGGUGUUGAAAGCAGCAGGGGCCUAGAAGACAUUAAACCGAUACCACAGAAAUACAAAGGAUCAUUAGAGACUAUUAUGAACAACUAUAUGCCAACAAAUUGGAAACCAAAUGGAAAUGGAUAAAUUCCUGAACAGAUACAACUUACCAAAAUUGGACCAAGAAGAAAUAGAAAACCUGAAAAGACCAACUAUGAGUAAUGAGAUUAAAUCAGUAAUAUAGAGUCUCCCAUCAAAGAAAAGUCCAGGCCCUGAUGGCUUCACUGCUGAAUUCUACUGAACAGUUAAAGAAGAACUCAUACCAGUUCUCAAACUCAUCCUGUGAGGGCAGCAUUACCCUGAUACCAAAACUAGAUAUGGACACAAGAAAAAAAAUCUAUAGGCCAGUAUCCCUGAUGAACAUAGAUGCAAGAAUCCUCAACAAGACCAGGUGUGGUGGUUCAUGCCUGUAAUCCCAGCACUUUGGGAGGCCAAGGCAGGUGGAUCACCUGAGGUCAGGAAUUUGAGACCAGCCUGGCCAACAUGGCAAAACCCUGUCUGUACUAAAAAUACAAAAAUUAGCCGGGCAAGGUGGCGUGUGCCUGUAAUCCUAGCUACUUGGGAGGCUGAGGCAGGAGAAUUGCUUGAACCUGGAGGGAGGAGGGGCAGAAGUUGCAGCGAGCUCAGAUCGUCCCACUGCACUCCAGCCUGGGUGACAGAGUGAGACUCCAUCUCAAAAUAAGUAAAUAAAUAAAGAGACUCAACUAGCAUAAAUGAAUUGCAAGUGUUUUAUAGUAUAUAAUGAGCACAACAAAAGUAUCAAUAUAUUACAUGGAAAUACAUUUUUCAAAGCUGGAUCUUUAGCUUCCAAGGAUUAAGGAGAAUUUUGUUACUGAGUUGGUUCUUAAUUUAGGCUCUGCACCUGAGACCUAGAGUCCCCUGGGAUUUGGGUCCGAGGACUGGCAUUACCUUUGUAGGUGGCUCUUGGCAACUAGCACUGUCUAAGAUCUUAACAUUUGCAAAUGAAGCCUUAAAACAUGUCCCAAAAGUAUGGAAAGUGGGCCGAUUUCAACACAACCAUUACCUGUUCCUGGUAGCUGACCAACUAGGAGAUUUCAGAGGUCAAGUGGGACAGAGCAGGGUAGGGAAUUUUUUUUUAAGCUUUAUUAUAAAACAGGUAACUUUGUCCCUAUCUUAAGAAUUUGGAACUGAGGCUAUAGGUCACUCAAUGAUCAAAUAAUGAAAGGUCUGCUUCAACUGGACUACUUAAUAUUUCACAUUUACCUUUUUGACUAGAAAUAACUGAUGAAAGUUCACUUAGUUUGGUGGGAAAUAAGAGAUACAAAGAUAUCUUCUCCAGGAUGAGACUCCCAAAAGCAAAUGUUCUCUGAGUACCUCUGUCGCUCAAAUUUAAGCCCUUUGGAGUUCCUUUGAGCAUGGUUCUGCCCUCAUAUUUCUGAUCACUCCCUCUAGACUCCUACUCAACUUCUC